rnacentral:lncRNA from 1 species
CAAUAAGAUACUUAAUUAGGCAUUUUUGUAGGUAAACUACGGAAAGCAUGAUACUGUAGUUAAUGUGUUAUAUGUUGUCAAAAAUGUAUUGAAUAAAAAAAAAUCUUUCGAAUAAAAAAAUCUUGCGCUUGACAUCAGGAAUUAGUCAUUUGUAAAACAAAAUGAUAAGCUAUGUCAAGUGUUACAUUGAACAGACAGAUUCAGAGGAGCCCGGUAAAGAUUUGUAGGUGUGUUUUAGAACAAUGCACUUGAAAACAAAACAAAACAUGAUGAUAAUUAGGUUAGAGAUAUCAGUGACUAACGGUGACUUAUUAUUUGAAUAGCCCGGGCUUAUGUGAAUACAAUUUUGACGUCUGUAACAAAGAGGAAAGGACGAUUGUUAUCGGUUCAUAUAAAACAAGAUUUGUACUGGUUCAGAGAUAUCAGUGACUUCCAGUGGUUUGUACAAGUUUUAUUAACCCGUUUCUGACGUCAUGUAACAUUUCUAUGCCUGUUCUAUAGGCCUACAUUUAGUAGAAAAUUUAGGGUAAGAACAUAGUUAAGUUGUUUCAACUUCAUUAAAUUAAGUGUUUAUUUAACGAAGUUUCCACGAAGAUUCACAUGGAAACUGUUCAGGUCAAGAACUGGGAUCUCGACGCUUACGAGGGCUUUCUGUUAGAGUUUCUAAACCAUAAGAAUGAAAUGAUUGAUUUCUUGAAGAAUUGAAAAGACAACAGGAGAUCUAACGAAGAGCAGUUAGAUGAUGCUAAGUAACAGUAAGUGUUACAAUUUAAUUUACAUUUUUACCUUUAAAACUUCCAAUUAAAUAUAUUUUUUUGUACGAAAUUAUUUUUUUAAUGUUAUUACAGUUCGAAUUUUUAAACGAUCUCGAUGAAGAAGAGGAGGAAAACGGAGAUACUGAUGAUAAAAUACGUUUUGCUGUGAACAUACAGUAUUUGAAAUUCAGAGACAUAGGCUUAGCAAAGCAUAUAGCAAAUUAUUAAAUAAUGAUGGUAAUAAACAAUGCGAGACGGCAGCUUGGCCAAGGUAAACUUAAGAAGAUGAUGUAUGAAGAUGAACAUGAAGACGAAGAAAACUAUGAAAAUGGGAUCGGGGAAACACGUUAAAAAAUUGGUAAAUAAUGUUCUGCUUUUGAUUAAUUAUCAGGGUUUAAAUAUAAUUUUUUUUUGUUUUUCAGUCUAUUCGUGGUGUUAAACGAUUAACAAAUUCUGAUGACGAAGAGGAUGGCAAUGAGGGCGAGUAAAGGGAUUUAGACAACAUGUACGUUAGAGAGCUAUCUAUUAUUCGGAAACUUAAAUAUAAGUUUAAUAAGGAAUUUAACAUGUUCGCUUUAGCAGGCUUAGAACAUGUUAGGGUCAUUGAAAUUUUACUGACGAUUUACGGAAUUUGUUAUUAUGUUUUAGAUAGUGUUUUGGAAAACGUACAAUCGUAUAUAAGAUCAGUUAUUAGGGCGAAUUGUUUAGAUAUCCCAAUUUCCUUACCAUUUAGACUAUUUCAAAAGUUCUCCAAUCUCAUAUGAAUAUUUUAGUUGGGGACGAUUUGCAAUUCAACAUUUUACAUAUUCCUACUGUAUGCCUAGUGGUGGUGGUGGUAAUCGUUUAAAAAAAGGGGUAUAGAUAAGAAUGUUGGGAUGGUAGAUGUUUAAUUCGUAUUAAAGAUGCAGAUGAUGAAAAUCUAGGUGGGAAAACGUUAAAAAGGGUAGAUGUCUUCAGAAAGAAGCGGCUGAACAAUUGUUAUUGAGGGCUGGGGUAGAUAAUGGUCUUUGUGGGAUAAAUGAGCUCAAACAAUUUCAACAUGUUCUAUCUGAUUAUCAAAUCAUUGUGAUUUCUCGGGAAAAUCUUCACUCAGUAAUUUUAGUGAGGAUCAUAAAGCAAAACACAUCACCACGAUAAUCACUGUAAUUUGAUAACAAAACUUACAGCCUUUUUAGAAGUUAUUUAUUUAUUUUUUUUGUAAUCUUUAAUUGUUUCAAGGGUUAUAAUCAUAAAUAUGAACAUAACUGUAAAUUUUUAUGCGAGUUACGGUAUGCAUUCUCACUAGUGUAUCCCUUCUGUAGACCCAUCUACCGUUGUCGAAUGUAAUGACGGCUUACGCUCAUUUAAAAUUAAAUGUUUUGAUAAUCAAAAAAGGUAAUACUACUGUUUGCGAUAGCAAAAAACUAUGUAGAAAUUGUAAUCGCUAUAUUAAGAAAGAUCAUAAUUGUAAGGAAUAUGUAGAGUUUGCAGAAGGAUGACAGAGACUUGUCGUCUUUGUUACAUGAAAAGGUGGUUAACAAUGUGGAAAAAUAUCUUUUUUGAUUUUGAAUGUACAGAGUGGGGUUCACAAUCCAAAUUUAUACUUCAAAAAAGCUGUUUAAAUUGUAUUAACGAUGAUCAAGAUUCUGAUCAAUGCGAAUUUGCGAGGAUAAAACCAACAUUUUUGACGGGGAGGAUGCCUGUUUUCAGUUUUGUGAAUACUUAUUUAAAGUAGUAUUCUUACAAUCAAAAUGUAAUAUGUAUUGCCAAUAAUUUUCAGGGUUAUGAUAAUUAUUUCAUUAUUCAGUUCUUACACUCUUACGGCGUUUUUCCGGAAGUUGUUUUUAGGGACGGAAAGUUAAUUUCAGUCAAAGAAAAGGAUACCUCGAUUCGAUUUAAUGAUUUGCUUUCUUUUUUGCCUAUGCCCCUAUCAAAAUUAGCUAAAACAUUCGGUAUUAAUGAACUGAAAAAGGUUACUUUCCCCAUAGGUUCAAUACCAUACAAAAUAAGGAUUAUGUACGAUUCCGAUAAGAUGUACCGGCUAGGGAUGAUUUCCUCACUCGGAAAUCAAAAGAAAUAUGAAUACUAAAUCACGAACUCAUAGUCUAUUGUAUAUGUGACGUUGAUAUAAUAUUGAGAAAGUGUUGCCUAACAUUUAGACAUAUUAGCUACGAGGCCUUAGG